CCCCGUCUCCCCUUCUCCCCUGGACCUCUGUCCUCCUCAUCUAGCCUCACCUCCUCACAUCUCGUCCGACCUCUUCGCCCCUCGCCUGCUGCUUCUCUCUUCCCAUUUAUCUCCCCUGGGUACCGGGGAAGCAGUCUCGACUGAACCCUCUCACUUCUCGGCCCCGGCUCCUCCGGCUCCUCGCUCUCCUGCUUUUCCUUACCUCCCCUUUUCAUAUCUCAGGGACCGUCUGGUGCCCACAAACCCCAAUCUGGCUCUGCCUCUGCCCGGAAUCUCGACUCUUCCUCUCCCAUUAUCCCCACCCCCAACUUGGCACCCGGCUUUUCUCCUCACUUUUUCAGUUCCUGACUCUUUUGCCCUCCUUCCUCUCACGGCCUUCCUCUAUUUUCAUUCUUAACUCUACAGUCCCUCUCUGCCCUUCUUAGUUCCUUCCCUCAUCACUUCCUCCCUCCCCCCACCCCCAUUCUCAGUCUCUGGGCUUCUCUGAAGCUCACCCUUCCUGUUCCCGUCCCCCAAUACUCUCUCCUUCACUUCCAGCGACCAUGACCGCUAUCCCAGAUUGGAAGCUACAGUUGCUAGCCCGGCGGAGGCAGGAGGAGGCAGCGGUUCGUGGCCGUGAGAAAGCAGAACGGGAUCGCUUAUCCCAGAUGCCAGCCUGGAAGCGGGGAAUUCUGGAACGACGCAGAGCCAAGUUGGGCCUACCUCCUGGAGAGGGGAGCCCUGUGCCUGGGAAUGCAGAGGCUGGACCUCCAGACCCGGAUGAAUCUUCUGUCCUUUUGGAGGCUAUUGGG
rnacentral:lncRNA from 1 species